GGGCCGGUAGUGCAGCCUGGUAUGAACGCUAAAAGAGAACGGUAUAAACGCUCGGCUCGCAUCCGAGAGGCCGCGGGUUCAAAUCCCGCCCGGUCCACCA
rnacentral:tRNA from 1 species